rnacentral:lncRNA from 10 species
ACUCACCUUGGCGGCGUCUGACAGCUGCGCCAGCAGCAGCACGGAAAGCGCCAGGCACGACAGGCUGAGCAAGGAGCCAAGCCGAAGAAGGCCUCCCCACAGGGUCGCCAUCGCUGGGGGCCCAGCGGUCCCACAGCCCGGAGCCCCCGCGACCGGCUCCCGGCUCGGGCUCAGGCUCAGGCUCAGGCUCAGGCACAGGCUUGGGACCCGGCUGGGGAUCCUCCGCCCGCACUUCCGUCUGGACGCGAAGGCGUCACCGGGCGCGCCGGGUCAGAUGCAAAAAGCAUCCGCCCCGGAACCGGUUACCAGUGCGAAGGGCCGGGAGGCUGGGCAGUCCUGGUGCCCGCCUUGGCCUAGCCCCGGCCCCGGGACGGAAGGGGGCCUCUGGGGUGGCAGCCUGGGCCCAGUAGAGCUUUGCAUCUCUUGGAUAUCUUUCCCGGGCGCAGAAGCUGCGGGGCUUAGGGAGUCGCCAUUGCGCUGGAAAGUCCUCCCGCCCACGGAGACCCCAGCAAACUCCGAGUGUCACACAGUCGCCUCUGGCGACCCGUGCGGGCCGGAGCCGUUCGCGCACAGGCAGGGCGGGUGCUGAGCGUGGAAACGGGGCUGGAAUUGGCCGAGCCAUGCCUUUCCGGGAUGCCCACCGCCAGUCAAAGGGUUGGGGGUGGUCUCUGCACCUUAAGUACUAACCUGCCGCCCACGCGCCUCCUGACCACAGCACCCCGUCGGCUUUCUAAUUCUGUGAGCUGCCCUCGUGGGCGUGGCCUCCCUGUGGAGCUCCCCAUGUGCCUCCCCUUGGUCCAGCCUGCAGCUAGGAAGUGGGUCACAGCGACGGGGCUGGGCUGGGCCAGGCCAGGCUCCGGGAGAUGUGGAAUUGGCGAAACAACUGCCCCAGUAGUAUCCUCCGCCUAGGACUCCAAGAGGUGGCGAAUUGGGGCACUACGCCCGGGAACCAGGGUGGCAGGGCUAGAUGUCCUCUCACCAGACUGCCCAGUGAAGGUGCUGUCACUUUGAUGAAUUAUCAAGGCUUUGUAGUGGGUCUUCUACUGGACAAAGGACAAACUGGAGACUCCCUGGAUCAAAUGUGUUGAAAAUGUUAUAGUGCUGUCAGGAAGUGCUGUUCUGGAAUACAGAAUGUGGCUGCCGUGAGUGGAGUGUGACUAUGAGAUAGUCGCCUGACUGGAGACAAUGAAGCCUCAGGCCAAGAAUAUGUUUCUAGAGCUGCUGGUGCCACUGCUGAUGUUACUGGGUUCCCUGAAAUAAAACACCACAGUGCAGGUGAGUACCAAAGUGGGGAGAAUUUUUAGUUCCUUUUAGAGGUGCUAAAUCAAUAUUGUUGAUUUCCCAGUACCUUAGAAUAUUUAAUGAAAACAGGUCAGGUGCAGUGGCUCACGCCUGUAAUCCCAGCACUUUGGGAGGCCAAGGCAGGUAGAUCACUUGAGGUCAGGAGUUCAAGAACAGCCUGGCCAACAUGGUGAAACCCCAUCUCUACUAAAAAUACAAAAAUUAGCAGGGCGUGGUGGCAGGCACCUGUAAUCCCAGCUACUCCGGAAGCUGAGGCACCAGAAUCGCUUGAACUCAGGAGGCGGAGGUUGUAGUGAGUCGAGAUCAUGCCACUGCACUCCAGCCUGGGCGCAUGGUGGCUCAUGCCUAUAAUCCCAGCACUUUGGGAGGCUGAGGCAGUCAGAUCACUUGAGGUCAGGAGUUCAAGAACAGCCUGACCAACAUGGUGAAACCCCAUCUCUACUAAAAAUAGAAAAAGUUAGCCAGGCGUGGUGGCAGGCGCCUGUAAUCCCAGCUACUCAGGAGGCUGAGGCAUAAGAAUCCUUGAACCCAGGAGGCGGAGGUUGCAGUGAGCUGAGAUUGCACCAUUGCACUCCAGCCUGGGCAACAAUAGCGAAACUCCGUCUCAAAACAAACAAACAAACAAAACAAAAAAACUUAAUGAAUACAGUCCCUCCUAAGAUUUUCAAAUAAAUGAAAUACCACAUUAAUCAUAUUGUUUUAUUUUUAUCAUUACAUUAAAAAUCAAAUAGUAUCACUAGGUUUAUAAUGAAAAACAGCAGACCCUGUCCCAGCCCUCCACACUCUCAGUUUCUACUCCCUAGAUAUAAUCUCUAUUCACCCAGCUACCUCUUCUGGUAUUUAUCUCCGUAUUUCUAAAUAGCAUGCUUAUACUACUAAUUCUUAAUUUUUCAGUUUGGGCCAUUAUUUUACUUUUUCUAUAGGAAAUAAGAUAUGUGUUUAUACUCUGAAGACUGGUAAUACACACAUGUAUUUCUCCAUCUUCCAUCCUUCAGUUUAUCUAUAUCACCCUAUAUAGGUAGAGUACUAUUCAUUAUACUAUUAUAAAGGUAUGUAAUUGAUCCAGUUAGCAUAAUAUGAUUAUAUUUCCUUUAUUUUGAUUGAAGUUAACUAUUGCCUCUUUCUCCAUGCAACUUUCUUAAGUACCUAGCAUUCAAGUGUCUAUAAUCAAUUUAUUCCAAACUGUCCUUUCAAAACAUUGAAACACAUCAAGUAGUCUAUCAAUCAGUUUAUUUUUUAAAUUGGAGACAACUCUCUAGGAGCCCAUCAUCCUCCUUCACUGUGGACUAGUUUUUCUCUAAGCCUACUGCACAGCUUUUGUCCUGAAAUAAUUUUAUCCUUUCUACCCUGUUUUCCACUUCUUUUUGUUUUUCUGAAAGAUUUCCACCUUCCAGCUUUUCUUUUGAAUUUUAAAAUUUCUGUUAUGUUUUAAAUUUGCCAGAAUACUUUCUUGUCAACCUCUCUUUUAAUUAAAAAUAUUUUUUAUUUUUGUAAUUUAAAGGUUUAUUGUAAAUUGACAAGUACAAAUUGGAUAUAUUUAUGGGGUACAAAGUGAUGUUAUAUGUAUACAAUGUGGAAAGAUUAAAUCAAGCUAAUUAACAUAUCCAUCACUACAAAUACUUCUUUGUGGUGAGAAUACUUGACAUUUACCUUCAGCAAUUUUGAAAUAUACAGUACAUUAUUAUUAACCAUGCUAUACUCUUUAUCUCAAAAAAUGUAUUCCCUUUAUCUAACUGAAACUUCGUACUCUAACCAACAUCUCCUUGUUUCCCCUACCACCCCUUCCCCCUACUCUCUGAUAACCAUCAUUCUACUCUGAUUCUGUGAGUUUGUUUUAGAUUCUACAUUAGGAAUCAUGUGACUUUGUCUGUCUGUGCCUGGCUUAUUCCAUUCAGCAUAACGUCCUCCAGGGAAGCACUUUCUUGUCCACCCCCUUCCCCUUUUUAAAUAGCAGUCUGUUCCAUUUGGUGGAUGCAGUAUCUUAUUACUCUAAGAAUAUUGCUAAUGUUUUCUUUUGUUUCUUGAAUUGUCUGUGUUGAAUUUUUAAGGCUUGUUUCUGUUUUGUGUUGGAAGCUUUUCUUAAACGUCUAGAGAUCCUUGGCCAUCCAUUCAUAUGUAAGAGUGGGGCACUAGAAAGCCAAUAGAAAGUUCUGUGUACACUGGCCAGUGAGGUGGCUCACACCUGUAACCCCAGCACUUUGGAAGGCCAAGGCAGGCAGAUCACUUGAGGUCAGGAGUUCAAGACCAGCCUUGCCAACAUGGUGAAACCCCAUCUCUACUAAAAAUACAAAAAUUAGCCGGGCUGGUGGCGCACGCCUGUAAUCCUUGCUACUUGGGAGGCUGAGGCUUGAGAAUCUCUUGAACCCGGGAGGCAGAGGUUGCAGUGAGCUCUCCAGCCUAGGCAACAGACCAAAACUCUGUCUCAAAAAAAAAAAAAGUUCUGUGUACAUACUUAGGACUUGUAAUUGGUAGGACAUACUGCAGUAUUUUUCAAACUUCUGGUCGCAAACCCAUUAGUAGUUUGUGAAAUCAAUAUAAUCAGUUUUAUUUCCCCCAAAUGACAGAACAGAAUAGAAAACACCACCUCAGAAUACAUCUACAUAGAAAGAGAAUUAUUUUAUGAAACUUUGGUUUCUUACACAUAUCAUAUAUACAUAUUAUGUACUGGUUUGAUCCCAUAAAAUGGGAGUUUUUUUUUUUUAUUGUGGGUGUUUCUUCAAAGAAAUUUGAAAAAGUACAACUUAGGAUAAUCAAAGAGAUCUCCAACUGUCAGGACAGGUAGGUCUUUUCUCUUAGAGAGGUUAAGUUCCGGCCCAGUGCGGUGGCUCAUGCCUGUAAUCCCAGCACUUUGGGAGGCUGAGGCGGGCAGAUCAUGAGGUCGGGAGAUUGAGACCAUCCUGGCUAACAUGGUGAAACCUCAUCUCUUCUAAGAAUACAAAAAAUAAGUCAGGCAUGGUGGCACGCGCCUGUAAUCCCAGCUACUCGGGAGGCUGAGGCAGGAGAAUCAUUUGAACUCGGGAGGCGGAGAUUGCCACUGCACUCCAGCCUGGGCGACAGAGCAAGACUCCGUCUCAAAAAAAAAAAAAAAAAAACGGAGAUAAGUUCUCCUGGAGUAAAAUUCUCUAAACUUUUGCCUGCAUGCUAGUCUGAUAGACAGUACUCAUUCAUUCAGGUAUUGGUUGAGGACUUACUAUGUGCCAAACACUGUUCCAGGUUCUGGGUAUACAUCAGACAAAACUGUCUCCUGGGACUAGAUUCUAGUGAGGGAGAUAAACAGUGGGUUAUAUAGUAUUUAGAUCUUGCGCUAGGUAACACAGCAACAGAAGGGAAAGCUGAACAUAUGCAUAUAGAUGCUGGUAAGAGGGUGGAUGUGGUGGAUGAAUGAAGUAGAAAACAAGGUCAUCAUCUGAGAGUGAAAAUGGGGAGGAAGUGUUGGAAGAAAAGAGAAGGUGUGAAAUAAUUUAGGACACAGCACAGCAAACUAUAGCCUUUGGUCAAAUCCUAUUUUGGUGCAAUCCACAAGCUAAGGAUACUUUUUUACUUUUAAACGGUUGGGAAAAAAAUUUAAGAUGAUAUUACAUCAUAGCAUGUAACAAAUAAAUGCAAUUCAAAUUUCAUUUAUUUACAUAUUGCCUCUGGCUACUUUCAUGCUACAGUGACAAAGCUGAAUAAUUGCAAAAGAGACUAUGACCUGCUAUGCCAAAAAUAUUUAUCUGGCCCUUUACAGAAAAAGUUGGCUGACUCCUGAUCUAGGAGGAUGGGAAGGUAUAUAGAGUAGGGAAAUAUGAUUAUCAGGCAGCAUUAAGGCCUGAAGGUUAUGGACAUGAAUUUAAAGUAAGACUAAACAGCAUAGUUGCUGCACAGAAGUAGGUACAAAGGCAAAGAGCUGGCUUUAAAGUUGUGAUUUUGCAAACUGAAAAUGACAAAAAGGGGUAGACUAAGUUAAAAGUACAUGCAAGUUGCAUGAUUAUAAUGAGUGAUCCUGGGAUUUAAGUUGAUUAUGACAGGAACAGAAGGAACUUGGAGAUUAGGGACAAUGAAAAGGUGGUAGUGAAAGGAGUGUUGGAGUUAAGUUACUAGAUGUCUGGAAGACAGACUGUGGUGGUCAGAUAAUGAGAUAGAUUAUGGAGGGGUUACAGUUUUUGGUAAUAACGAGAGAGAUCUAAGGUAUGACUGAGAGUGAAUGGAUGAGAAUAGCAGAGAACAAGGUCAGUGGAAAACUACUCUUCAAAGAACCUAUAGUCAGGGUGUUGAAAGAUUAAAAAUUGCUAAGAAUUAAAUCAGGAGUAGUGCUGCGGGAAAUGAAAUGAGCAGUGAACUAAACUUACUGAGAAAUGAGAGGGGAUGACCCAGGGGUUUGUAGAUUUUGUAGAUGAUAGCAAUGAAGAGAAGAGAUAUUAUUUGAUGGUAUGGAACUCAAAGCUGAGAGUUUUAAGGGAAGAUAGGAGACGUGUCUAGAAGUAGUAAUGAGGAGCAAGAACAUCAUCUACCCCAUCUCCAGGACCAGUAAUAGGAGGACUGUGGGAGAAAAAAAUCACCUUGAGAGGGCUGUAGUGAAAGCAGUAUCCUAAGGUAGCAGCCAAGUUUCAGACUGCUGGGAUCCAAGCCAGGGAAAGGUUUCUGACUCUUUAGAAUGCUGAGCUUUAGGCUGGGCACAGUGGCUCACGCCUGUAAUCCCAGCACUCUGGGAGGCCAAGGUGGGCAGAUCACUUGAGUCCAGGAGUUCAAGACCAGCCCAGGCAACAUGGUGAAAUCCCAUCUCUACACAAAAUACAAAAAUUACCCAGGUUUGGUGGUUCAUGCCUGUAGUCCCAGCUACUCAAGAGACUGAGGUGGAGAAUCACUUGAGCCCAGGAGGUUGAGGCAGCAGCAAGCCAUGAUCACACCACUGUACUCCAGCCUGGGCAACAGAGUGAGACCCUGUCUCAAAAAAACAAACAGAAUGCUGAGUUUUAAAUCCCUAUAUUCAGUAGGAUGUCUCCCCUCAGCUCCCAGUUGUUGUUGGUGGCUUCAACUAGUUCAUCUUCCCCAGGAGAUAAUGAAUGAACAAAUGAAUGAAUGAAUGAAUGAGUUUAUAAGGGGCGAGGAUCUCAGGACUUCAUAGUCUUUCAAGUAAUCAUCUUGUUUUUAGCCCUCUACCUACUACCUCUUGCUUUUCAGAUAACUGAUGCCUCCAAUUCCUAAGCCUUUUCUGGGGUUCUGUGGUACAAACAUGCUUGCUUAUUGCUAGUAACACUCCACCAGCCCCUGCCCCAGACUUCUGCUUUCUCUGGUCUACUCAGUUUGUUCCUUGUUUUUUGCUUUCCGGAUUCAAAGAUUUUGUUGACAUUGCCUGGAUGCUGCCAUCUUUUGUCUCAUAUUCUUUGUCCUUAAUCAUUUAACAUUCCUUUACUGUCAUUUUAAUGGCAUUUCAGGAGGAAGCCAUGUUUCUAGUCCACCGUUCUUUUUUGUUGUUUUUGAGACAGAGUCUUACUCUGUCACCCAGGCUGGAGUGCAGUAGCAUGACCUCAGCUCACUGCAACCUCUGCCUCCCGGGUUCAAGCGAUCCUCCCACCUCAGCCUCCCGAGUAGCUGGGACCACAGGCAUGCGCCACUACAACUGGCUAAUUUUUGUAUUUGUAAGUAGAGAUGAGGUUUCUCCAUGUUGGCCAGGCUUGUCUUGAAUUCCUGGCCUCAAGUGAUCCACCCACCUCAGCCUUCUAAAGUGCUGGGAUUACAGGCAUGAGCCACCACACCGGGCCAAUCCACUGUUUUUUAAAAAGUUGUCAAGAGUUUUGUUAAGGGGUCAGACAUGUCUGACUGGUUGACUUUUCCCAGAAUGCUGCUUAGUCCCUCAAACACACAAAUUCCUGAUGGGUCCACCCACUAGGCUUCUGGUAUACACAGACAGAUCUGAAUCCCAGUGGUGGAAACAACCUAGGCUGAUUCUGAGUUUCCCACUGCAUUUCUUCUUCUAAUUGUCCCUCUUUUCCAUUCCUGUCCUUUCCCUCAUCCCUUACCUGCUGAAAAUGAAUCUUACCAUUUCUAAAAUUCCACUCUUCCGGGGGCAUCCACAGCUGGAUCCUCUUCUUCACUGCCAUUCCUCAGGCCUUAGAACAGGUCCCCUUCUUACACCCUUGUGCUCCAACUGGUCUUUAUGAAACCUGUUCACUUCAAUAUACUUUUAGGCCAGGCUCACGCCUGUAAUCCCAGCACCUUGAGAAGCUGAGGCCGGUGCAUCACUUGAGGUCAGGAGUUCGAGACCAGCCUGGCCAACAUGGUGAAACCCUAUCUCUACUAAAAAUACAAAUAUAUAUACAUAUGCCAGGCAUGGUGGCAUGUGCCUGUAGUCCCAGCUACUCAGGAGGCAGAGGCACGAGAAUCACUUGAAUCCAGGAGGCGGAGGUCGCAGUGAGCCGAGAUUGUGCCACUGCACUCCAGCUUGGGCAACAGAGCAAGACUCCGUCUCCAAAAUAUAUCUUAUCUAUAUAUAGAUAUAGAUAGGUAUAUAUAGAUCUAUAUAUAGAUAUAUACUUUCAAUUCUCCAAUUGUUCCCGUAUACCAUAGAGAAACUCUUAUGAGCUCAGUUUCUGCAGGACUUACAAAACAGGGUAAUUGCCUCCUCAUUAUGGUCAGCUCCAGCACCAUUCAAAUUCUCUGUCCUUACCCAUUUCCAGAACAAGCAGGAUGAAAAUCACUUAUCACUAUAGCACCCACCCUUAAGCACAAGGUUAUCCAAUGUUUUCAAGGAGUCCAGCAUUUCAUAACAGAACCCCCUGAUUAGUUUGCUAACUGAUGAAAGCAGAGUUAAAUUCCUGUUAUGCAGGUUUAGAGUACAGGAGAUUCUAUGUCCCCAUAUCCUCUGCCCCCCAAUCUAUCCCUUGGCAAACACAAGUACCUCUACUAGAAUAACCAUACUCCCUCUUCCCAACCCACUUCUCUUGUUUAAGGGCACUGGCAGUGUUUGUGUAUGUCAACAACAUCGGAGUAUCUGGGGUCCCUGGAGAGUUAGAUUUUCUGUAUUAAUUACAGACUGGGAGAUUACUCUGGCUCCAGUAAAAGCAAUACCAGGAUUGAAGUCCCCUCUCUGAUUAUGGUGGCUGGGAUUUGCUGGAAGAGGCAUAGGUCCAGAAAAGAAUGUAAAAAAGGUACUAGAAAGAAAGAAUAAGGCCUAUAGCCAUCAGGCUGCUAGAACCUUUGGACAAGUCACUAUCUAAAAGCAGGUAAAGACCCAGCUUUUUGUCCAUCUGGUCAGGCACCUGGUGGCGUGAGUCUUUCAGAACAUACUGGUCAGGCGGUGGCUCACGCCUGUAAUCUCAGCACUUUGGGAGGCUGAGGCAGGAGGAUCACUUGAGGUAAGGAGUUGGAGACCAGCCUGGCCAACAUGGUGAAACCCUGUCUCUACUAAAAAUACAAAAAUUAGCCAGGUGUGGUGGCGGGCAUAUGUAGUCCCAGCUACUUGGGAGGCUGAGGCAAGAGAAUCGCUUGAACCCAGGAGUCGGCAGUUGCAGUGAGCCGAGAUCACACCACUGCACUCCAGUCUGGAUGGUAAAGUGAGAACCCAUCUCAAAAAAAAAAAGGAACAUACCACAACCCUUCAAUAAAAAGGUCUCUGAGAAAACAGUUGUCACAAUGUCCAUGUACUUGUACUUGACACCAUGUGAGAAACAGCCUCCAGUAGGUCACUGGCCAGACAGGUGAGUAUGAAAUAGGACAACACUGUAUUAUAGCUCAGGAUGCAUUGAUAAUAGAAGUUUGAAGCAGCAGCUGACAGACGAGUCUAAGCAAUAACACACAGACUAGUUUGUCUCUGCUCUUGAGAACAGCAGCCUGCAACCCUUCAAACAAGCCAUAAUGUGUGAGUCAACAAGAAGCUACAUUUGAUUGACAAUGCCAUUUUAAUAAAGAUGUUCUAGAGUCAAAGAAUUUGGCGUGAGAAAUUGUGCCCAGGCUGGGGUGCAGUGGUGUGAUCAUAGCUCACUGCAGCCUCUGAGCUCCUGGGCUCAAGGGAUCCCCCUGCCUUAGCCUCUGAAGUAGCUGGGACUACAGGCAUGCACCACUGUGCCCAGCUAAUUUUUAAUUUUUUUGUAAAGAUAGGGUCUCAUUAUGUUUCCCAGGCUGGUCUCGAACUCCUGGCUUCAAGUGAUCCUCCCACCUUGGACUCCGAAAGUGCUGGGAUGUGCUCAAUAUUAAAUGUCAUGAAGAUACUGUUAAAAUAAUAAUUGUGCUCAAUAGUUGUAUCUUUAUACUAUUCUGAGCCUUAGGUUUCUUUUCUGUAAAACUGAACAAUACUACCUUCUUUGCAGGGGAUAGCAUAGUCCCUGGUUUACAGUAAAUGCUUUCCUCCAAUUGAAUCAAGAUAUACCUCUCUGCUACCUCCCCAUCUAUUAGAAAUGCUUGCCUUCUGGUACCAGAAAAAAAAAAAAAACACCUUCCACAUGACAACUCUGAAGACAAUAAUCACACUACCAUUGUGUUUUUCUGGAUGUGCCACACAUUGUAUACAUGUCCCUGCCUUACAAAUGACAUCUCCUAUACACAGAGUCCUUAAUAUUUCUACAUGCAAUGUAUAAUCAAUUAAAACAUCAGUAUCAUCUUAAUGUGAAUUUCUGUUAAUCCAAGUUCUCCCCCACUAUGCAAGUGCAAUAAAUAUUUAAAAAUGAAGGUAACAAUAUAUAUAUAUAUUUUUUUGAGACAGAGUCUCGCUCUGUUGUCCAGGCUGGAGUGCAGUGGCGUGAUCGCGGCUCACUGCAAGCUCCACCUCCCGAGUUCAUGCCAUUCUCCUGCAUCAGCCUCCUGAGUAGCUGGGACUACAGGUGCCCACCACCACUCCCAGCUAAUUUUUUGUAUUUUUAGUAGAGACAGGGUUUCACUGUGUUAGCCAGGAUGGUCUCCAUCUCCUGACCUUGUGAUACACCCCUCUCGGCCUCCCAAAGUGCUGGGAUUACAGGUGUGAGCCACCGUGCUUGGCCAACAAUAUAUAUUCUUAACUGUGUAAAUUUUAAUUUGUUGGUUUUAUUCUUUUGAGAUUAUUAUGAAUAUUGAUUCUGUCAUUCAUCGCUUAAGGACCAGGCAGGUGAACCACUUGACAUUUUUUAUCAUCAGAAUAAAUUGACAAAAACAAAACAAAAUACUUUGAGGUGGAAUGGAAGUAUCUUGAGUAGUAGUAAAACCAUAGUUCUAGAUGGUGAUAAUCAUUGUCAUAAUGAAAGCGUGUUGCUUGUUGACUAUUUAACCAUGCUGUUUAAGUCAUAUUAAAAACAUCAAUACGUCCCUCUCCCUCUCCCCUCUCCCCUCUCCCCUCUCCCCUCUCCCCUCUCCCCUCUCCCCCUUCCCACGGUCUCCUUCCACGGUCUCCCUCUGAUGCCGAGCCAAAGCUGGACGGUACUGCUGCCAUCUCGGCUCACUGCAACCUCCCUGCCUGAUUCUCCUGCCUCAGCCUGCCGAGUGCCUGCGAUUGCAGGCGCGCGCCGCCACGCCUGACUGGUUUUCGUUUUUUUUUUUUUUGGUGGAGACGGGGUUUUGCUGUGUUGGCCGGGCUGGUCUCCAGCUCCUAACCGCGAGUGAUCCGCCAGCCUCGGCCUCCCGAGGUGCCGGGAUUGCAGACGGAGUCUCGUUCACUCAGUGCUCAAUGGUGCCCAGGCUGGAGUGCAGUGGCGUGAUCUUGGCUCGCUACAACCUCCACCUCCCAGCCGCCUGCCUUGGCCCCCCAAAGUGCCGAGAUUGCAGCCUCUGCCCAGCCGCCACCCCGUCUGGGAAGUGAGGAGCGUCUCUGCCUGGCCCCCCAUCGUCUGGGAUAUGAGGAGCCUCUCUGCCUGGCUGCCCAGUCUGGAAAGUGAGGAGCGUCUCUGCCCGGCCGCCAUCCCAUCUAGGAAGCGAGGAGCGCCUCUUCCCCGCCGCCAUCCCAUCUAGGAAGUGAGGAGCGUCUCUGCCCGGCCGCCCAUCGUCUGAGAUGUGGGGAGCACCUCUGCCCCGCCGCCCUGUCUGGGAUGUGAGGAGCGCCUCUGCUGGGCCGCAACCCUGUCUGGGAGGUGAGGAGCGUCUCUGCCCGGCCUCCCCGUCUGAGAAGUGAGGAAACCCUCUGCCUGGCAACCGCCCCGUCUGAGAAGUGAGGAGCCCCUCCGUCCGGCAGCCACCCCGUCUGGGAAGUGAGGAGCGUCUCCGCCCGGCAGCCACCCCGACCGGGAGGGAGGUGGGGGGGGGGUCAGCCCCCCGCCCGGCCAGCCGCCCCGUCCGGGAGGUGAGGGGCUCCUCUGCCCGGCCGCCCCUACUGGGAAGUGAGGAGCCCCUCUGCCCGGCCAGCCGCCCCGUCCGGGAGGGAGGUGGGGGGGUCAGCCCCCCGCCCGGCCAGCCGCCCCGUCCGGGAGGUGAGGGGCUCCUCUGCCCGGCCGCCCCUACUGGGAAGUGAGGAGCCCCUCUGCCCGGCCAGCCGCCCCGUCCGGGAGGGAGGUGGGGGGAUCAGCCCCCCGCCUGGCCAGCCGCCCCGUCCGGGAGGUGAGGGGCGCCUCUGCCCGGCCGCCCCUACUGGGAAGUGAGGAGCCCCUCUGCCCGGCCAGCCGCCCCAUCCGGGAGGGAGGUGGGGGGGUCAGCCCCCCGCCCGGCCAGCCGCCCCAUCCGGGAGGGAGGUGGGGGGGUCAGCCCUCCGCCCGGCCAGCCGCCCCAUCCGGGAGGGAGGUGGGGGGGGUCAGCCCCCCGCCCGGCCAGCCGCCCCGUCCGGGAGGGAGGUGGGGGGAUCAGCCCCCCGCCUGGCCAGCCGCCCCGUCCGGGAGGUGAGGGGCGCCUCUGCCCGGCCGCCCCUACUGGGAAGUGAGGACCCCUCUGCCUGGCCAGCCGCCCCGUCCGGGAGGGUUGGGGGGGGGUCAGCCCCCCGCCCGGCCAGCCGCCCCAUCCGGGAGGUGAGGGGCGCUUCUGCCCGGCCGCCCCUACUGGGAAAUGAGGAGCCCCUCUGCCCGGCCACGACCCCGUCUGGGAGGUGUGCCCAGCGGCUCAUUGGGGAUGGGCCAUGAUGACAAUGGCGGUUUUGUGGAAUAGAAAGGCGGGAAGAGUGGGGAAAAAAUUGAGAAAUCGGAUGGUUGCCGGGUCUCUGUGGAUAGAAGUAGACAUGGGAGACUUUUCAUUUUGUUCUGUACUAAGAAAAAUUCUUCUGCCUUGG